AGCAGCCGCGGUAAUUCCAGCUCCAAUAGCGUAUAUUAAAGUUGUUGCAGUUAAAAGCUCGUAGUUGAAUUUCGGGGUUAGUAGAUUGGUCAUGCCUCUGGUAUGCACUGGUCUCACUGAUUCCUCCUUCCUGAUGAGCCGUAAUGCCAUUAAUUUGGUGUUGCGGGGAAUUUGGACUGUUACUUUGAAAAAUUAGAGUGUUUAAAGCAAGCUAACGCUUGAAUACAUUAGCAUGGAAUAAUGAAAUAGGACGUUCGAUCCUAUUUUGUUGGUUUCUAGGAUUGACGUAAUGAUUAAUAGGGAUAGUUGGGGCAUUAGUAUUCAAUUGUCAGAGGUGAAAUUCUUGGAUUUAUUGAAGACUAACUACUGCGAAAGCAUUUGCCAAGGAUGUUUUCAUUAAUCAAGAACGAAAGUUAGGGAUCGAAGACGAUCAGAUACCGUCGUAGUCUUAAACCAUAAACUAUGCCGACUAGGGAUCGGAUGAUGUUAAUUUUUAAUGA
rnacentral:rRNA from 1 species